GUAAAAAAAUAAUUACUUCUACUAAUAACUACUUAAUUAUUACUAUUGAUCAAUUUUACUCCUUAAAUCCAUUUAUCUAGGAAUUUUUUUUUUUAACGUAUCACACUUUUUACAUUUGCAAGAAUUAAAAUCAAAUAAUAAAACAAUUUUUAACUUGAUUCCAACAGCGUCCAGUCACAUUUUUUUUUAUUCCUAAAAUAAAACAUUCAUCAGAGUGUUUAACGAUGGAAACAAAUAUUAUUAUAUCGUUCUGUUCGUAAGAAUAUACGAAUUUGCAUAAACAUAUACGACGAACAUCCGAUUGUUUAAGGGAAAAAAACAGGAUGCAGUAAUAAUAUUGUAUGCUAAAAACUAACGAUUAAAUGCUUUUGUGACCGAGUAUGUAUAAUAUAUAACUAACGCAAUACUAAUAUAUUAAUAAACUAAUAUAAAUAAAUAUAUAUAUAUAUAUAUAUAACUUCCACAAUGAGAAUCAGCCUGUCACCGACGCAGUGUCUUGUUUCACUUCUCGUUCAAAGCGGUACCAGCUUUCGAGAUUUCUAAAUUUUCACCGCGAUUUUAAAUCGAUUGUAAAAGAUCUCGAUCGAUUCUCGAACCGAUCGUUUCCAGUCGAGCGGAGCUGUUUUCAGUUUACGAAUGGAAAGCGGAGAGGGAAACGUGAUAAUAUGAUUAACGUUGGCACACGUUGAACAAUUCUGUUACGCGAGAUCGGAUUGGUUGAAAAAGUGUGAUUGCUCGAACAGCAGGAGUCGAGGAAACGCGAUACAAAUUGUUAUUCUCACUUUGAAAUCGCUUGCCAAUCAUGUUGCCAAUACGUUCGAGCAUUUAACGUAUUUAAUAUGUUCGGGGCAGUUCAAGUUUCCGAUAUGAAUUUUAAUGCAACGUUGAAAACACGCCUUUUAUGACGAGACAACAAAGAAGAAUCGCUUCUCACGGCAUUCGAUGGAAAGAAAGAAAGGAUCGUGCCCAUGUGAUCUACGGUCACACCCUUCUUUUUAUGGUAUUCACUUCGUAUAUCACCUGCAACUAUCGAUGAUUUAUCAUGAUUUAUAGUGAACUUUUUCAUCCGUGAAGCCUGAAGCAAAACACGAUCGUUGCUCGAUCGAGAUUUUACGCUUUUCGAUCGAUCGAAUACAUUUCAUCGUAAUUAGAUGAUUUCUUUUGUGGUGAAGAUUGCAGUAUAUAGUUUUAUUUCGUGAAUAAACGAGGGAAGAAAGCAUGAUACGUUUUGUAUAUUUUAAUUUGGAAAGUAUAGAAGAUAACAGGAUGAUGAGUAAGAAGAUUUGUAACAAGUUUUAUAAUUUAUACACGCGUACUUAUGCACUUGAUUGUUAAUGCUUUGCAAAGAAAAUUUUUUCCUUGACUUUUUAAUAGGCCACGCUUUUCGAUUCAUUUUUAUAUCAUCACUUUUAUAAUAUUCGUGAAAAUAAUAGUCGAUUAGGAGAUUAUUAAUAGAGUAGAUUAAACGUAAAAAGUGAGAAGUCUAGAAAGCGUGGAAUUAUUUUUCUUAUAUUGCACUGCUAUGCAGCCUCCAGAAAUUUUAUUUUACUAUACCAGAUCUCGUGUUUAUGAUUAAUAACUGUUAAGAAAUAAAAUUCAUCAAUUUUUUGUCAUUGCUCGAAUCGAGUUCCAAGUUUGAUUAUUCCUUUUAGAUCAUUAUACUAUAUAUCUCUUUUACAAUUUUAUUGCGUUUGAUCGACGUUUAAUUGCUAUUAAAAUGGGGACAAGUAUAAUGCUUGAGUCAUCUCGUAAACUAGAGAUUAGAAAUUGUAUCUAGAAGAAUCUGUGAUAAUGAGUUUCAAGAAUAGUUCAAAAUAGCACUGAUUGACAAUGAAAUAAAUAAAAUAGGAAACUGGUUUCUUGAGAAGAUAUCGUUGCAAUAAUUUAUACGAGUAAAUAAUAAUAAUAUUUAAAUCUUAAGUAAUCAAGGUUUGACUAUUCUUGGAAACGGUGUUUGAAUUAAUGGAGCGCGACGAGAUUCGAUUAUUCAAUAUCGCGCGUUCGAUCGAUCGUCGGAGAUUUCAAUGCUUGAUAUCGAUUAAUCGUUGUAAGGACGCGUCUGCGCACUUGUGUUCGCGCAUGCGCUCUCCUCGCUCAUAAAUUGCUGGGAGACGCUUCUCAAUAGAGUAAAUACUAUGCAGUGAAAAGACGACACGGAGAAUAUAUCGGUAGGAAGGAAAGGAUAAUUAAUUCUCCAUCGUGAAGAAAAGAGGCGAGUAAAACGCGGUGAACGAAACGCAUACAGAAACGGUGCUCACCGGUGCUAGGAACUGCGUUCAAGGAGAACAGCAAACGAAGGAUUACGUAAUUCGGGUUACGUUCCUUUGAUGUACAAAUGAUUUUAACGCGAAACAGGAAAUCACCUUUUUUGCUUUUUUCCACUAGCAAAUCGUUCCGUUUCAAGGAUUUAUGGAUGAUCGUUCAACUCGAACGUCCGACGAAAUUGGUUUGAAUUUUUAUUUCUUCAAAAGUUGAAGAUGGAAAAAAUAAGGUAUAUAUUAAAAGAUAUAAAAAGAAGCUUUUUUUAAAAUUUAGAAAGAAAACAAUUUAGAUAUUAUAGUAUAAUAAUGAUUAAUAACGAUUAAUCGUAUUUAGCAUUCGUAUGUAAAGAUUUAUUAUUAAAUUAAGAUCAGAUUAUUAUUCUAAUUUUACACGCUCUUUAAUCGCUUUAAAUGGCCGCGCGCCAUAAUUUCUCGAGGUUGAACAUUGAAAACGAGGUGAUUAUUAUUAACACACGUGAUAAAAAGUACACGUGUUACGGUGUUAAAAUGAGGACGUUCUCGGACCAAUCGGAGCGAGCAAAAACUCUUGCGUGUACGAGGCAAGGACGACGAUCAUCAUCGAUUUAAAUGAAACUUGUAGAAAAUUUCCAUUUAGGUUCCAUAAUGGGACCGGUCGAGCAACUUCGACUGACGUUCUUUUGGCCAUACUU